GCAAUCCGACAGGGGAGCGCACAGCGCUGAGAGUGUGGGGUGACACCCGCAGACCCUCGAACCUGAUCUGGGUAAUGCCAGCGCAGGGAGCUCGGUCUCUCUUCAGC
rfam:Actinoplanes friuliensis DSM 7358, complete genome.